rnacentral:rRNA from 1 species
UACAGAGGUCCCAAGCGUUGUUCGGAUUCACUGGGCGUAAAGGGUGCGUAGGCGGUUAGGUAAGUCCGAUGUGAAAUCUCCAGGCUCAACCUGGAAAUGGCAUUGGAUACUAUCUAGCUUGAGGAGUGGAGGGGGGACUGGAAUUCUCGGUGUAGCAGUGAAAUGCGUAGAUAUCGAGAGGAACACCAGUGGCGAAGGCGAGUCCCUGGACACUUCCUGACACUGAGGCACGAAAGCUAGGGGAGCAAACAGG